rnacentral:lncRNA from 1 species
UCUUCUCUCUCCAUCUUUUUCUCCAAUUGCAUGUGUCUCUCAUGUUCCUCUAUUCAGCUUCAGCGCUCACAUUCCUCUCAUUUGAUUCAGUCUGUUCUCUCCUCUAGGAGGAAGAAGAAGAACUCAGAGAGCUUGAGGAGGAAGAGGAGCAAGCCUCAGAGGAAGACUAGUGUUCUGAAGCAGAGGAUUUUGGACCUGGAUUUUCCCACACAGCCUGAAGUGACACCCCACUUGCCCUGGAGUCACCGAAAAUCACCCACAAAUACCUUCUUUGCAGCUUUGCCAAAGCCAAAUGUGACACCACUGCACUGGACAAUAUGCACUCAGGACUCCAGCUUCAAACCACCCCGACCCUGAUAAAUGUGCCUUUUUGAGGUUCCACAAUGCCUUUUUACGCUAGAGUUGCUUAAGCUUAAGUGGCGAGUUUCAAGUGAAUUUAAAGGGAUGUCUUUUUUCCUUAAUGUACAUAUAGAAAAUAGCUUAUUCUACUACUUUUAAACUAACAUCACUUUGUGACUUUGUUCUGUAGAAUCCCAAAUAGUUGUGCCAAACCACUCAAAUGUGCCAAACUAAUAAUUACAAAUACCUCUGUGUGUGUCUUAUAUUGUGAAGUACACUACCAGUCAUAUUAUGGACACACUUUGCUACAAUGCUAAAAAUAAACUGAACUCAUCUAUUACAUACUUCAGUCAGACAACAUAAUAUGGUUCUAAAAUGUAGAAUUGUAGUUGUUUGUAGUUAUACAACCGCAGUGAAGUUGAAGUUAAAAUUAACACUGUGAAAGGACAUCAGUCACAAUUCCCUCCUUUUUCAGUCUAUUGUGUCUGAUUUUAGUCUGAAUGUGUGACGUCAGUACCUGCUGGAAGCCAUUCUCUUUAGUUGGUUGGCUGUUCUAAUGCACUUUGUAUGUAGACAGAAAUGAAUGGUUGGAAAUACCCUUAUUUACCAAUAAAGAGUGAGUUUUAAAGGCGCUGUCUGCUUCAUUAUGUUCUAUUCUUGACACAUUGUGUGUAUUUAAAUAGCAGAAAUGUUCAACCAGGGUGGUACAAAUUCAAUAAACAGGAUGUGACCUUAAAGAGAUUCCCUAGAGAUAGUGAAUGGAAGAUAAGAAGUGGGCCUCACAUGUGACUUAACAAUAGCAGCAGAUUUCAGACAUUAUUUUAGGCCGUCACUAAAAUAUUCACUGCAGCCUGUGAGUCACUGUUGGAUAUUUGCAGUGGUCAGUUCAAGGCUAAAAAGGCUGUUUUGCUUUCAGUAAUAUUUAACUGGCUAGUUUUGGCCACAUCCCACAGUGCCCAAGAAACUGCUACUGUAUUGACUGUGGGAAACAUGAUUUCUGUUCAGCCUCUUUGGAAUACUGUAUAGCCCAUCCUGGAAUAUUCAAGGUAAGAAUACAGCAGAAAGAUCUGUAAUUCAAGUGACACAUUUGUGAUGUAUUUUGGUACAUUAAUUCUUUAAUAAGUGGGACAAAUGUGAUUCAUAAGUGGAAAUGGUGAUCCUUUUCAAAAUUUUAAUGUCAAACAGUAUCUUGUUCAUAUGUUGUCAUGAGCUUAUAAGGUAGCAAUAGACUCGUUGGCUACAAUGUGGGAAAAAUCCCAUGUGUAGUUGUUUAUUUAUUUAUUUAUUU